rnacentral:rRNA from 1 species
GACGUAGGGCGCGAGCGUUGUCCGGAUUUAUUGGGCGUAAAGAGCUCGUAGGCGGCUCGUUGCGUCGGCUGUGAAAACCCACAGCUUAACUGUGGGCCUGCAGCCGAUACGGGCGAGCUAGAGUUCGGUAGGGGAGACUGGAAUUCCUGGUGUAGCGGUGAAAUGCGCAGAUAUCAGGAGGAACACCGGUGGCGAAGGCGGGUCUCUGGGCCGAUACUGACGCUGAGGUGCGAAAGCGUGGGGAGCAAACAGG